AUUGAACGCUGGCGGCAGGCUUAACACAUGCAAGUCGAGCGAGCGGCGGACGGGUGAGUAAUGUCUGGGAAACUGCCUGAUGGAGGGGGCUAACUACUGGAAACGGUAGCUAAUACCGCAUACCAUCAGAUGUGCCCAGAUGGGUUUAGCUAGUGGGUGGGGUAAUGGCUCACCUAGGCGACGAUCCCUAGCUGGUCUGAGAGGAUGACCGGCCACACUGGAACUGAGACACGGUCCAGACUCCGACGGGAGGCAGCAGUGGGGAAUAUUGCGCAAUGGGCGCAAGCCUGAUGCAGCCAUGCCGCGUGUAUGAAGAAGGCCUUAGGGUUGUAAAGUACUUUCAGCGGGGAGGCGUUACCCGCAGAGGAAGCACCGGCUAACUCCGUGCCAGCAGCCGCGGUAAUUC
rnacentral:rRNA from 1 species